GUCUAGGUAGCUCAGUGGUAGAGUAAAGGAUUGAAAAUCCUUGGGUCAGUGGUUCAAUCCCACUUCUAGACA
rnacentral:tRNA from 1 species